UUUGCCCCUAGAAGCAUUGCAGGUGUGGCCUCUGUGUCACAUGUUAGAAGACAGCAGAGAGGAGAGAGGCUGUGUCUGUGCUCAGUGUUCUGACCCAUGAACAUCUGAAUGAUUAGUGGCCUAACAUU